GCGUUAUCCGGAUUUAUUGGGUUUAAAGGGUGCGUAGGCGGUUAGAUAAGUUAGAGGUGAAAUCCCGGGGCUUAACUCCGAAAUUGCCUCUAAUACUGUUUGACUAGAGAGUAGUUGCGGUAGGCGGAAUGUAUGGUGUAGCGGUGAAAUGCUUAGAGAUCAUACAGAACACCGAUUGCGAAGGCAGCUUACCAAACUAUAUCUGACGUUGAGGCACGAAAGCGUGGGGAGCAAACAGGAUUAGAUACCCUGGUAGUCCACGCAGUAAACGAUGAUAACUCGCUGUCGGCGAUACACAGUCGGUGGCUAAGCGAAAGCGAUAAGUUAUCCACCUGGGGAGUACGUUCGCAAGAAUGAAACUCAAAGGAAUUGACGGGGGCCCGCACAAGCGGAGGAACAUGUGGUUUAAUUCGAUGAUACGCGAGGAACCUUACCCGGGCUUGAAAGUUAGCGACGGAUCUGGAAACAGGUCUUCCCUUCGGGGCGCGAAACUAGGUGCUGCAUGGUUGUCGUCAGCUCGUGCCGUGAGGUGUCGGGUUAAGUCCCAUAACGAGCGCAACCCCUACCGUUAGUUGCCAUCAGGUGAAGCUGGGCACUCUGGCGGGACUGCCGGUGUA
rnacentral:rRNA from 1 species